rnacentral:tRNA from 1 species
GCUCUAAUAAUUUAAAAUAAAAUAUUGGUCUUGUAAACCAAAAAUAAGAGACACUUUUAGAGCU